CCUACGGGUGGCAGCAGUAGGGAAUAUUGCGCAAUGGGCGAAACCCUGACGCAGCAACACCGCGUGAAUGUUAAGGCUUUUGGGGUGUUAAGCUCCGUUUGUAGGGGAGGAUUAUGACGGUACCUAACAAGUAAGCACCGGCUAACUCCGUGCCAGCAGCCGCGGUAAUACGGGGGGUGCAAGCGUUAACCGGAAUCACUGGGCGUAAAGCGCGCGUAGGCGGGAUGGCAAGUCAGAUGGUAAAUCCUAGGGCUGAACCAUGGUACGGCAUUUGAAACUGUCAAUCUAGAGUGUGGGAGAGGUAAGUGGAAUUCCUGGUGUAGCGGUAAAAUGCGUAGAGAUCAGGAGGAACA
rnacentral:rRNA from 1 species